rnacentral:rRNA from 1 species
UCCGUAGGUGAACCUGCGGAAGGAUCAUUACCUUUCUAGUUAUUUUGACUGGCUCGGGGGCCGGCUUGCGUGGUCCCAAAAGGACCCCCUGCCGCCCUGGCUGCAUCCUUGUCUAUUGCGUACUACAUGUUUCCUCGGUAGGCUUGCCUACCGGUUGGACAACCAUUAAACUCUUUUGUAAUUGCAAUCAGCGUCUGAAAAUAAUUUUAAUUAUUACAACUUUCAACAACGGAUCUCUUGGUUCUGGCAUCGAUGAAGAACGCAGCGAAAUGCGAUAAGUAGUGUGAAUUGCAGAAUUCAGUGAACCAUCGAAUCUUUGAACGCACAUUGCGCCCCUUGGUAUUCCAUGGGGCAUGCCUGUUCGAGCGUCAUUUGUACCUUCAAGCUUUGCUUGGUGAUGGGUGUUUGUCCUGUCCUUGUGACUGGACUCGCCUUAAAAUUAUUGGCAGCCGGCAUAUUGGCCUUUGGAGCGCAGCACAUUUUGCGAUCUAAGCCUGUAUAUUGGUAUCCAUAAAGCCUCAUUAUCACUUUUGACCUCGGAUCAGGUAGGGAUACCCGCUGAACUUAAGCAUAUCAAUAAGCGGAGGA